GAUGAACGCUGGCGGCGUGCCUAAUACAUGCAAGUCGAGCGAACGGACGAGAAGCUUGCUUCUCUGAUGUUAUCGGCGGACGGGAGAGUAACACGUGGAUAACAUACCUAUAAGACUGGGAUAACUUCGGGAAACCGUAGCUAAUACCGGAUAAUAUUUUGAACCGCAUUGUUCCAACGUUAAAGUCGGUCUUUCUUUCACUUAUAGAUGGAUCCGCGCUGCAUUCGCUAGUUGGUAAGGUAACGGCUUACCAAGGCAACGAUGCAUAGCCGACCUGAGAGGGUGAUCGGCCACACUGGAACUGAGACACGGUCCAGACUCCUACGGGAGGCAGCAGUAGGGAAUCUUCCGCAAUGGGCGAAAGCCUGACGGAGCAACGUCGCGUGAGUGAUGAAGGUCUUCGGAUCGUAAAACUCUGAUAUUAGGGAAGAACAUAUGUGUAAGUAACUGUGCACAUCUUGACGGUACCUAAUCAGAAAGCCACGGCUAACUACGUG
rnacentral:rRNA from 1 species